UACGUAGGGUGCAAGCGUUGUCCGGAAUUAUUGGGCGUAAAGAGCUCGUAGGCGGUUUGUUGCGUCGGCUGUGAAAAUCCCGAGGCUCAACCUCGGGUCUGCAGUCGAUACGAGCAAACUAGAGUGUUGCAGGGGAGACUGGAAUUCCUGGUGUAGCGGUGAAAUGCGCAGAUAUCAGGAGGAACACCGGUGGCGAAGGCGGCUCUCUGGGACGGUACUGACGCUGAGACGCGAAAGCGUGGGGAGCGAACAGG
rnacentral:rRNA from 1 species